AAACAACUCUCACCCAAACCUCCACCUGUGCAAGUAUCACCUACCUUGGAUUAAGAAAAAUCUCCACCCGGCAGUCCGUCAACCUCACUCCCAGACUCCACAUCACUCUAUUCCUGGCAGAUCCUCAUCUCCAACCCUCGCUGCGUUUCCAGUCCCGGGUCCAACUCUAUAAUCCAUUCCUCUGAAAUAUAAACUUGUUAAACCUUU